CAACUGAGGCCACAAUGGAAGCAGCAGGAGGGUCAGCUGAGCGGAGGUGAGGGCAGAGCUGACCUCUGCCACCAAACCUUGCUGUGUCCAGUUACUUCCUCGUGCAAAGGUUCAGUUUCCUCUUCUGUCUAGUGGGAUUGAAAAAAACCCUGCUCUGCCAAACCCAUAGGAAAUUGCCUGUGCAAAGGGUUUGGGAAAGGAUAAACCGGCAGCUUGUAUUUGAGACAGGUGUUCAGCUCAGUUCAGUUCAGUCUCUCAGUCGUGUCCAACUCUUUGCGACCCCAUGGACUACAGCACGCCAGGCCUCCCUGUCCAUCACCAACUCCCGGAAUUUACUCAAACACAGGUGAGAACAGUUGAAGGCCACAGCCCGGCGUGGAAGGCGUUACGUUUACACACCUGGAGAAAGCUUUCCUGAAGAGCUCCGUGAACCAGAGGCCUGUCCUACUUGACAAGCCCCUCAGAGCCUCUGUCCCCCAGGGCAGCGGGGAGGCCGCAGCCACUUGCAGCCAUGGAUCUCAAGGCAGUGAUGAGCGGAUCCAGCCCGGCUGAGCACAGGGCGCCUAGGUUCUCACCCAGGGAGGACGAGGAGGAGAGACAGAGGCUGGAUGGAUAAAUCUCGAAAGCUCUCCAGAGGCCUGGUUGAGCCAGACCAGCGAGGAAACAGCAGGCCGCAGCCCAUCACCCACAGUGGCAAAAAGCUCUGAACUUUGACACAACCCAGGCCAGGGGUCAAGUCCUGCGCUGCUCCUUGCUCUCCGUGUGAUCUGAGCCGUUACAUAAGCUCUCCGGGCUUCAUUCUUCACGUGAAGAAUGGAGACAACAAAACGUAUACUGACUCGCUUGAAGUCGCCCAGAUAAUCAGUACAGGGGCCAGGCGUUAACCAACUCAAUCCCGCAAGCAGGCGCCAAGGACCUCCUGUGGGUUCUGUGUCCUGCUGGCACGGGUGGGGCCGCCAAGAAUGGAUGAGCUGUAACUUGAUUGGCCAAGCAGGCCUAAAAUCCUUGGAAUGAGAG
ensembl:lncRNA